CAGUCGCCGCGGUAAUACGGAGGGUGCAAGCGUUAAUCGGAAUUACUGGGCGUAAAGCGCACGCAGGCGGUCUGACAAGUCAGAUGUGAAAUCCCCGGGCUUAACCUGGGAACUGCAUUUGAAACUGUCAGGCUGGAGUCUUGUAGAGGGGGGUAGAAUUCCAGGUGUAGCGGUGAAAUGCGUAGAGAUCUGGAGGAAUACCGGUGGCGAAGGCGGCCCCCUGGACAAAGACUGACGCUCAGGUGCGAAAGCGUGGGGAGCAAACAGGAUUAGAUACCCGCGUAGUCCCUGUCCUUAUACA
rnacentral:rRNA from 1 species